rnacentral:rRNA from 1 species
AUUGAACGCUGGCGGCAGGCCUAACACAUGCAAGUCGAGCGGAUGACGGGAGCUUGCUCCUUGAUUCAGCGGCGGACGGGUGAGUAAUGCCUAGGAAUCUGCCUGGUAGUGGGGGACAACGUUUCAAAAGGAACGCUAAUACCGCAUACGUCCUACGGGAGAAAGCAGGGGACCUUCGGGCCUUGCGCUAUCAGAUGAGCCUAGGUCGGAUUAGCUAGUUGGUGGGGUAAUGGCUCACCAAGGCGACGAUCCGUAACUGGUCUGAGAGGACGAUCAGGCACACUGGAACUGAGACACGGUCCAGACUCCUACGGGAGGCAGCAGGGGGUAAUAUUGGACAAUGGGCGAAAGCCUGAUCCAGCCAUGCCGCGUGUGUGAAGAAGGUCUUCGGAUUGUAAAGCACUUUAAGUUGGGAGGAAGGGCAGUAAGCUAAUACCUUGCUGUUUUGACGUUACCGACAGAAUAAGCACCGGCUAACUCUGUGCCAGCAGCCGCCGUAACAC